rnacentral:rRNA from 1 species
UACGUAGGGAGCAAGCGUUGUCCGGAAUCAUUGGGCGUAAAGCGCGCGUAGGUGGCCCUGUAAGUCCGUUGUGAAAGUCAAAGGCUCAACCUUUGAAAGCCGAUGGAUACUGCAGGACUAGAGUACGGAAGAGGCGAGUGGAAUUCCUGGUGUAGCGGUGGAAUGCGCAGAUAUCAGGAGGAACACCAAUAGCGAAGGCAGCUCGCUGGGACGUUACUGACGCUGAGACGCGAAAGCGUGGGGAGCAAACAGG